AAGAGGGCUUGGAAGGGAUUGUUCCAGGAUGUGGGAUUUGGUCUUGGAAGACCGAAGGAUAAAUGUUUCGAGACAAGGAGUGGAUCAGGCCAGAUAAGUAUGGCCAUUUCUCUCAGGAGUUCUGGAAUUUCUGUGUAGUGCCUGUUGAAGCUGUGGAUGCCAGUGACUGUGACAUCAACUACGAGGGCCUGGACAACCUCCUCCUCCUGAAGGAGCUCCAGUCCUUGUCGCUGCAGCGCUGCUCCCACGUGGACGACUGGUGUCUCAGCCGCCUCUACCCACUGGCCGACUCGUUGCAGGAGCUCUCGCUGGCCGGUUGCCCCCGCGUCUCUGAACGGGGCCUCGCCUGCCUCCACCACCUCCGGUGAGACCUCAGCUCAGGCUGGGCCCCGUACCCAGGCACCUCUCCCACCUAACACAGAUGCAGGGGAGGAAGUGGGGAGGGGCAAUGUUGGGCAGUUCUCGUAUCCCCCUGCGUCCAUCACAAACCUAGAGUAUUUGUGGUAGAUGAGCAGUCACAGUGAGUCUCUGGAAGAAUUAAAUGACUCCUGGUUUUUCUUCCUUUUUGUUUUAGUCAAAACUCUGUGAUAUCGAUGCUGUUGCAGAACAGCAGGAGCUAGAGUUGCAUAUUUGCAAUUAACACAGUGGGCUUCAUGUGCCUGGACAGCUAUAAAAAUUCUAUUUUAGGAAGCUAAGGUUGAAAUUUGGGGCCAGUACCUCCCUAUACAUAUAUACAUACAUACAUACAUACAUACAUACAUACAUACAUACAUACAUACAUGCACGCACACACACACACACACACGUUGGGGCCAGUACCUCCCUAUACAUACAUACAUACACACACACACACACACACACACACACGCACAUACACGCUGUCCUUACACUGGCUUCCUGUCCUCCUCGCCCCUUUUCAGGAACCUCCGCAGGCUGGACAUCUCGGACCUCCCUGCCGUGUCCAACCCUGGCCUCACUCAGAUCUUGGUGGAGGAGAUGCUGCCCAAUUGCGAGGUUGUGGGGGUCGACUGGGCUGAGGGCCUGAAGUCGGGGCCAGAGGAGCAGCCUCAGGACACAGCCAGCCCUGUCCCUGCCUAGCCUUCAGCCCUGUCCCCACUCGCGUGGCUUCUCAGCGGGCUGCAUGGAAUGUCUGGUAGCUUACCACACUUCUAGCUUCCAUUUGUCUUCACUCAACGUCGGGGUGGGGGAGUGGUGCUGGCCAGUCCUCACAGGGAGAGAGCGUGAGUUCCCAGUAUUUAUUCCUGGCUGCCCUUGGCUAAAGGUCACAGCUCCUGUCACCCUGUCAGGCAGCUCUUUCCAUGCCCCUCUUCAGGCCUGGGGAGGUAAAGGCUCAGGCUGUUAGUGGCCUCAGAGAGCCACACUCACCUUGUCAAGAGACUCUUCUCAAACUGUCAUUAUGUGAGUGCACUGCCAUUUCUUGCAGGGACCCUGACUGACACAGGGGCUACUACUGACACUUCACAGGGAUGGUUCUCCCCCGUGCAGGGCCGCUCUGCUCACUGCAGGACAUGCAGCAUCCUUCACCCCACUCCACUCACUAAAGGCCAGCACACCCCAGGCCCCAUGGUAUUGCUGGUUAUGGAUUUAUUGACUUUACGUUCCAAAUUCAGCUUUUUUGGUUGGCUGUUUUUUGAAAGGGGAUAAGCUUUGUCAGUAGAGGGCACCAAACAGGCAUCAUAGGAGGAAAGGCACCUCCUUCCUGGUUCUUGUUGGUUGUGCUUCUGCCUCUGGACGCCGCCGGGCAUGUGGCUUCCCCAGCACCCAGCUCCUGAAGCAGCAGGCGGUCAGCAGCUGCCCUUGGCACCCUCCAGCCCUCAGAAGCUGAGUAGAAGACACAGCGCCUCCACUGAGGCACCUCUCUGGGAAUAACGUUCCCCAGCACCCCAGAUGGAUUUCCAGUCAAUUCAGAAGCAUUUUACCAGUGAAGCCCUCAUUAUUCCAGUUCACUGUUAAAGCCAGUAAUUCUCUAUAUUAAACUUUCCCUGUUCAAGUU
rnacentral:sRNA from 1 species